UUCAUUCAUUUUCAUAAAUUCAUGACAUAAGUGAUUUGAAUACUUACCAUUCCUUCCCUUUUUAUACCCGUUGAACCACUUAGAAUAAUAUUGAAUAUACGGGAAAGCUCACACAAAGUGUGCUAAACAUAUAGUCGUAGUUGACAUGAACUGUAAAAUGAGUCUACUCACACAAGCUGUCUAUCGGAAUGUAAGCUACACGAUGCUGCUUACACAAGCUAUUGAGUAUCCGCAACUAAUGCCGAGCCUCAGCCAUAGGUAGGAAAUUUAAGACCAACAUCUGAAACAUGGUAACCUAGGUUUGCUC
rnacentral:lncRNA from 1 species